UGGUUCAAGUCCCUCUAUCCCCAG
rnacentral:tRNA from 2 species